rnacentral:rRNA from 1 species
ACGAACGCUGGCGGCGUGCCUAAUACAUGCAAGUAGAACGCUGAAGAGAGGAGCUUGCUCUUCUUGGAUGAGUUGCGAACGGGUGAGUAACGCGUAGGUAACCUGCCUUGUAGCGGGGGAUAACUAUUGGAAACGAUAGCUAAUACCGCAUAACAAUGGAUGACACAUGUCAUUUAUUUGAAAGGGGCAAUUGCUCCACUACAAGAUGGACCUGCGUUGUAUUAGCUAGUAGGUGAGGUAAUGGCUCACCUAGGCGACGAUACGUAGCCGACCUGAGAGGGUGAUCGGCCACACUGGGACUGAGACACGGCCCAGACUCCUACGGGAGGCAGCAGUAGGGAAUCUUCGGCAAUGGGGGCAACCCUGACCGAGCAACGCCGCGUGAGUGAAGAAGGUUUUCGGAUCGUAAAGUUCUGUUGUAAGUCAAGAACGGGUGUGAGAGUGGAAAGUUCACACUGUGACGGUAGCUUACCAGAAAGGGACGGCUAACUACGUG